UAUGGCUCAGAACGAACGCUGGCGGCAUGGAUUAGGCAUGCAAGUCGAACGGGAGCAGCAAUGCUCCAGUGGCGCAAGGGUGAGGAACACGUGAACAACCUGCCUUCGAGUUGGGGAUAGCUUCUGGAAACGGGAGAUAAUACCGAAUAACAUCGCCGGAUCGCAUGAUCUGGUGAUCAAAGCAGCAAUGCGCUUGAAGAGGGGUUCGCGUCCCAUUAGCUAGUUGGUGAGGUAACGGCCCACCAAGGCGAUGAUGGGUAGCUGGUCUGAGAGGACGAUCAGCCACAUUGGGACUGAGAUACUGCCCAGACUCCUACGGGAGGCUGCAGUCGAGAAUUUUGGGCAAUGGACGAAAGUCUGAACCCCCAGCAAUGCCGCGUGCGGGAUGAAGGUCUUCGGAUUGUAAACCGCUGUCAAGAGGGACGAAAUUUGACGGUACCUCUGGAGGAAGCCACGGCUAACUACGUGCCAGCAGCCGC
rnacentral:rRNA from 1 species